rnacentral:lncRNA from 1 species
GACUGAUAAGUAAAACCUACUUAUUGGAUAUCAAUUCACGAGAACUAUGCCCAUCUCAAGUACAUUUUAGUAUUUUUUUAGUUACAUUUUGUGUUAUUUUGCAUUGCAUGUAAUGAGAACUCCGAUGGUAUGAAAUUGCAGGAAAUGGCAUAGUUCGGCAGUGGUAGGUGGCACGAGACUAAUGAAGGCAUACCACGAGAAACGAGUGGAGAAAAGGAACUGAG